CACAGCCCUCACGAAUUUGAGGUUCGUUUCCGUCUCCUUACCGAGAAAAUUCUGAUGGGGCGGAGAAAGAAAAUUUAUUAAUUUGAUUCUUUCACUACACUCUCAAGCUAUGGCUAACAGAUACAAGCUGCUCAAUUAAUAUCAGUUAGUGUGAAAUAUUGUUUAGUUUAUAGUUGAAGCUGAGGAGAAGUAAUGGGGAGUGCGCCAUCAAUGCUUACUCAAUAUGACAUUGAAGAAGUCCAAAAGUACUGCAAUACUUUGUCAGGAAGUAGUGUCUCUGUACCAAAGGUUCUCCCAACUUGAUCGUAAUGCCAAAGGAUUUAUUUCAGCUGAUGAGUUCUUAUCUGUUCCUGAUUUUGCAACGAGUCCACUUUCUCAGAGGGUAUUCAAGAUGGUUGAUGGUCUGAAUUUCAAGGACUUCGCGGCCUUCUUGUCUGCUUUCAGUGCCAAAGCUAGUCCACAGCAAAAAAAAUAGAAUUGAUUUUUAAGGUGUACGAUUCAGAUCGCCAUGGGAAAGUGUCUUUUAAACAUAUGGUUGAAGUGCUCAAGGAUCUGUCAGCUCCAUUUAUAUCUGAUGAACAGAGAGAGCAAGUACUGAGUCAACUUCUCAAAGAAGCAGGAUACUCAAAACAUUCCUCCUUCACAAUCCAUGACUUCAUCAAGUUCUGUACAUCUUGUUGCAAAUCUUUGAUUAAUUAAUUUAAUUAAUUAUGAAUCAAAAUUAAGAACUGUUAUGAUUAUUGGUAAUUCCUUUUCUUUUUAUAAGAAUUAUUGCUAAUUUCAAUUAAAUGUUUUCUGAUCAUGUAAAAAGCUAAGGAGUUAAAACUGAUUAUGUGGCCUAAUAUUGAUUCAUGCAAGUAAUUAGCUAUAAUUAGGUCUAAUAUUCAAAUGUACUUAAAAUAAAUCAAACCUGAAAAUAAUGUAAUUUUUUAAU